UCCCUAGUGAUCCAGUGGUUAGGAUUCUGUGCUUCCACUACUAGAGGCCCAGGUUCGAUCCCUGGUCAGGGAA
rnacentral:tRNA from 1 species